UACGAAGGGGGCUAGCGUUGCUCGGAAUUACUGGGCGUAAAGCGCACGUAGGCGGCUUUUUAAGUCGGGGGUGAAAUCCUGGAGCUCAACUCCAGAACUGCCUUCGAUACUGGAAAGCUCGAGUCCGGGAGAGGUGAGUGGAACUGCGUGUGUAGAGGUGAAAUUCGUAGAUAUUCGCAAGAACACCAGUGGCGAAGGCGGCUCACUGGCCCGGUACUGACGCUGAGGUGCGAAAGCGUGGGGAGCAAACAGG
rnacentral:rRNA from 1 species